UACGAAGGGGGCUAGCGUUGCUCGGAAUCACUGGGCGUAAAGGGUGCGUAGGCGGGUCUUUAAGUCAGGGGUGAAAUCCUGGAGCUCAACUCCAGAACUGCCUUUGAUACUGAAGAUCUUGAGUUCGGGAGAGGUGAGUGGAACUGCGAGUGUAGAGGUGAAAUUCGUAGAUAUUCGCAAGAACACCAGUGGCGAAGGCGGCUCACUGGCCCGAUACUGACGCUGAGGCACGAAAGCGUGGGGAGCGA
rnacentral:rRNA from 1 species